UAUAUACUCCCUCCGUCCCAAAAUUCUUGUCUUAGAUUUGUGUAGAUAUGAAUGUAUCUAGACACAUUUUAGUAUUUAGAUACAUCCAUUUCUAGACAAACCUAAGACAAGAAUUUUGAGACGGAGGGAGUAUUUG
rnacentral:pre_miRNA from 1 species